rnacentral:rRNA from 1 species
GACGAACGCUGGCGGCGUGCUUAACACAUGCAAGUCGAACGGAAAGGCCCUGCUUUUGUUGGGUGCUCGAGUGGCGAACGGGUGUGUAACACGUGAGUAACCUGCCCUUGACUUUGGGAUAACUUCAGGAAACUGGGGCUAAUACCGGAUAGGAUCUCCUGCUGCUUUGUGGGGGUUGGAUAGUUUCGGCGGUUGGGGAUGUACUCGCGGCUUAUCCGCUUGUUGGUGUGGUAGUGGCUUACCAAGGCUUUGACGGGUAGCCGGCAUGAGAGGGUGACCGGAAACAUGGGGACUGAGAAAGGGCCAAGACGGGAACGGGAGGAAGCAGUGGGGAAUAGAGCAAAAGGGGAGGAAGAAUGAUGAAGAAACGCAGCGUGCGGGAUGACGGACUUCGGGUUGAAAACAGCUUUAGCAUGUGACGAAGAGUGAGUGACGGUAAUGGGUAAAGAAGCACCGGCUAACUACGUG